AACGAACGCUGGCGGCAUGCCUAACACAUGCAAGUCGAACGAUGGCUUCGGCCAUAGUGGCGCACGGGUGCGUAACGCGUGGGAAUCUGCCCUUAGGUUCGGAAUAACAGAGAGAAAUUUCUGCUAAUACCGGAUGAUGACGUAAGUCCAAAGAUUAUCGCCUAAGGAUGAGCCCGCGUAGGAUUAGCUUGUUGGUGUGGUAAAGGCUCACCAAGGCGACGAUCCUUAGCUGGUCUGAGAGGAUGAUCAGCCACACUGGGACUGAGACACGGCCCAGACUCCUACGGGAGGCAGCAGUGGGGAAUAUUGGACAAUGGGCGAAAGCCUGAUCCAGCAAUGCCGCGUGAGUGAUGAAGGCCCUAGGGUUGUAAAGCUCUUUUACCCGGGAAGAUAAUGACUGUACCGGGAGAAUAAGCCCCGGCUAACUCCGUGCCAGCCGCCGCAGUAACAC
rnacentral:rRNA from 1 species